AAACCAGCUGUUGAAUUUGCCUAUCUAUUUGUGUUUCUGCAGAAAUUUAGAAAAAGCUGGCAAUAACAAUGCUGUCACAUUAUGAACUUUAAAAAUAUCAAAGUCAUUAAAGCCCUUGACCAUGGUUACAAAU
ensembl:snoRNA